UUGUCGCGCUCGGCAGUUUUCGAGAUGUGGCGCCAUCGCAUCCUGCAGCAGGCUUCGCGCCGUGGAAUCAGCAAGCAAGUGAGGGAAGAUGGAGGAGCUCGAAGGGAACCAAGUGGAUCCCUGCCAGGCGCAGCAGAUGUUGUGGUUAUUGGCGGUGGUUCGGCGGGCUGUCACACACUGUAUCACCUGGCACGACGUGGUGUCAAGGCCGUGCUCCUGGAACGCGCCCAACUUACGGCCGGAACUACCUGGCACACGGCUGGAUUGCUGUGGCGCCUGCGUCCCAACGAUGUGGAUAUUCAGCUGCUGGCUAAUUCACGUCGCAUGCUACAGCAAUUGGAGGAGGAAACAGAGCUAGAUCCGGGAUGGAUUCAAAAUGGUGGCAUUUUCAUAGCUCACAAUGAAACGCGUCUGGACGAGUAUCGCAGACUGGCCACUGUGGGCUCAGCUUUGGGUAUUGAAAACCAAGUGCUGAGUCCGGAGGACACCCAGAAGUUGUUUCCCCUCCUCGAUCCGUCGGCCUUUGUGGGCGCUCUCUAUUCUCCGGGUGAUGGUGUCAUGGAUCCGGCGAUGCUGUGUGCGGCUCUCAAGAAGGCAGCCACUAAUCUCGGAGCCCAGGUAAUCGAGAAUUGCGGAGUGGAUGAUCUACUGGUGGAGCAGACUGCAAGCGGCAAGAAGGUGGUGGGUGUUUCCACGCCUUUCGGGGACAUCAAAGCUAAGAAGGUAGUGAAUGCUACAGGAGUGUGGGGUCGUGAUCUGGUGGCCAAGCACGGCACCCAUCUUCCCCUGGUGCCCAUGAAGCAUGCAUAUAUUGUUUCUGAAUCCAUUCCGGGCGUGAGAGGCCUACCCAACAUCAGAGAUCACGAUUACUCCACCUACUUCCGCAUCCAAGGGGACGCCAUCUGCAUGGGUGGCUAUGAACCGAAUCCCAUCCUGCUGGAGCCCGUGCCCAAGGACUUCCAUUUCGGACUAUACGAACUGGAUUGGUCUGUGUUCGAGACCCAUGUCGAGGGAGCCCAGAAAUUGUGUCCCAGCUAUACGAAAUAUGGCGUGAAGAGCACGGUUUGUGGCCCGGAAUCCUUUACACCCGACCACAAACCCUUGAUGGGUCCGGAUCCCAACAUCGAUGGGCUCUACCACAAUUGUGGCUUCAAUUCAGCGGGCAUGAUGUUUGGAGGUGGUUGCGGGGAGCAGACCGCCUUGUGGGUCAUCCAAGGUCAACCGGAGCUGCCCAUGUUUGGCUUCGAUCUUCGCAGAUUCACCAAGGAGCAGGGCAAAGCCAUCCAGUGGAUCAGGGAGAAGUCUCACGAGAGCUACGUGAAGAACUACAGCAUGGUCUUCAAGUAUGAUCAACCACUGGCGGGUCGUGAUUUCCAAAAGGACCCACUUCACGACGAGAUGAUGAAGGCAGGCGCCGUAAUGGAGGAGAAGCAGGGUUGGGAGCGGCCUGGUUUCUUCCUGCCCUCCGGUUCCAAGAAGGCGGUGGUUCAGCCCUAUGACUGGUACGGAAGCUAUGGCCACCAGAGGCACAAGGACAGCGAGUACGAGAGAGUUCUGGAUGGGGAUCUUCACUACAGCCGUUUCUCGGAGCACCACGAUCUAAUCGGAUCGGAGGCACUGGCUUGCCGCAAUAACGCCGUGGUCUUUAACAUGAGCUACUUCGCCAAUCUGCUCCUAGAUGGUCCACAGGCCAAGGAGGCCGCUGACUGGCUCUUCUCCGCCAAUACCAACAGGGAUCCCAGCAAAACUGUCUACACCUGUGCUCUGAACGAUGCCGGCGGAGUGGAAGCGGAUGUGACCAUUUUCCGCCUAGCGCCCGGAACCGGAGAGGUCUACAAUCCCAAGAUCAACGGCCAGGGCUUUUAUAUUGUGGCUGGCGGCGCCUCUGCCUUCUACACUUACAGCGCUCUGCUGGCAGAGAUCCGUAGAAAAGGAUUCGAUGCGAGCCUCAGGGAUUUGACUGCCGAAUUGGGUGUGAUUUCAAUUCAAGGUCCAAACAGCCGAAAGAUCCUGCAGUCCCUCAUCGACUGUGAUCUGUCCGAUGAGCACGUGGCUCCCAACAGCACUCGAUUAGCCAAGUUCGGAGAUGUGGGUCUCCGCUUGCUGCGCGUCAGCUUUGUGGGAGAACUGGGCUACGAGCUUCAUGUGCCCAAGAAAGAUUGUGCUGCCGUCUAUCGCAGUCUAAUGAAGGCGGGAGCUGGACAAGAUUUGCGCAAUGCGGGCUAUCGUUCCCUGUAUUCCCUUAGCAGCGAAAAGGGCUAUCAUCUGUGGAGCUUCGAUCUGCGGCCGGAUGACACGCCCCUGGAAGCUGGCUUGGGAUUCACAUGUCGCAAAACGGGUGCAGAUUACCGUGGCAAGGCGGCCAUCGAAAAACAGCGAGCUGAGGGUCUAAAGAAGCGACUGGUCUACUUGACGCUCCGGGAUCAGGUGCCCAUCUGGGGUUUGGAGGGAGUCUACCGAAAUGGCGAACCCGUGGGUAUACUUCGGCGAGCUGAAUAUGCCUAUACCCUUGGAAAGUCCCUCGGUCAGACAUACGUGUCCCGACCAGAUGGCCAGAUCAUCGAUGCUGAUUACAUCAGGAACGGGGAGUACGAGGUGGACAUCUUGGGCAAGAAAUACCGCGCCGACUGCCACUUGCGCAGCCCAUUCGAUCCCACCGGCCAACGGGUUCUCGAACUCGUUUACCCGGCGUAGGGAAUUUCUCUCAACCUUUCUCUUUCUGGCAGGGCACGACGGUAUUGUUGAAGUGCCUGCCUUAACAUAUAUGAAGGGUCAUAAAUUAGAAUCCCCAUGAAUAGGGAAAGGUUCGAAGAAAGGUCACGGUGUAGGCAGACAGGCAGUCUGCAAAGUGGUCGGUCGGUCACCCGAAAUGGUUGCGGUUACGGCUCAAUUAAUUUCUGUGUCCAACUAUUAUGACAUCAUUCUCGGUUUCCGCGAAGGAUAUGCCUUUCCAGACGUAAUUCUAGAGCACUGGGUCUCCUCGGCCAGACAGAGGGUCGCCACUCAAGUGGAUAUCUUUGCUUAAAUGAUAUUUCAUAUAAUUGUGAUAUUGAUGCAAUACUUUCAGCUUAUAAUAAACUAGGUUCUUCAGGCCUCGAUGGUUACGGUGGAGGCCGUGUUGGAGGGACUAUCGAAGUAGCCAGCUACCACCUCCUCCAGCGACAAAUCGAACUUGAAGAUGGGACGGAGAUCGUUGUUGAGUCGACAGACGACUCCGGCGGAGGCGAUGUUCCAGUUCCAGCAGAUCAUGGCGCAGUUCAGCGCCUCCAAAUCGCCCUUCAUCGAGACAAUAUUCUGAUGGGGAUGCAAACAUUAUUAUCAAUCAGAUUGUGUGCUUUUAGCGGCCCACUUACCAUAGCCACUGUGUAGUCAAUGGAGUUGAUCUCCUCGCCCUUGAUAACCACCAACUGGGUCUCGCCAUUCUGGUUGUUCAGGAAGCGCACCACCUUCUCCUUGAGAUACUCAGCCGAUGCAUAGUCCAGCUUUUGCUUCACAUCCACUACGCUCACUUCGUGACCAUUGAUCUUGUAGAUGAUUUAUGAUUUGUUGUUACUUGUGUAAAGUGCACCUAGAUAAGAUAGGAUGAGCUCACCUUCUCCAGUUUGAUGUCUACAUGGGGACGUGCACUGCUAUAUAGAAUGUAUACCAUGUUGGCAGCAAUGCCACACAGUAUUCCGUACUCCAGACUCCAGAACAUGCAGGUGAUUACAGUGACCACAAAGGGAAACAGAUCCUUCUCUGGAAAGUUAAGACAGAGCAUUAGAAGGCAUAGCUAGAAAACUGUUUCACCAUGAACUCACUCUUAGAUUUCCACAUGUCCUUAAUCUUGUGCAGCUCCACUAGCGAUAUCAUCGCCGCUAUAAUAAUUGCAGCCAGCGUGCAUUUGGGUAUAAAGUAGAAAGUUUGGGUGAGGAAUGCCAGUGCCAUGAGCACCAGGGCACCGGUGACAGCUCCUCCCAGUGGUGUCUUCACCCCACUGGCAUUGUUCACAGCCGUGCGGGUAAAGGAUCCCGUUACGGGCAUGGAGAGCACAAAGCUGCCCAUGAUGUUGCACAUACCCAGUGCCACCAUCUCCUGCGAUGCGUCUACAAUUUUCCCCUUAGCUGCAAAUGUAGAAUUCCUUAGUAUAAAUGCUUUAGAACUAAUUAAAGUUAUACCUACAAAAUGCCUUCGAUAUGGCUACUAUUUCCAGGAUUGAGAUCAAGGGAAUGGAACCCAAGGAAGCGCCGACAGUGCUGAUCAUCUCGCCGAAGGAAACGUACUCUCCAUCAACGGUGGUGCUAAAGGGCGGCAGCCGGAAGGGCGGCACUCCGGCCGUAAUGUUUCCAGUGACCCGGAAGGGCUGAUUCCCAUCUCGACUGAGGAUGUAGGCCAAAAAGGUGCCAAAGAUCACAGCCAGGGCGUUUCUGGAGAGGCCAAGGUACUUCCAGAAUAUACGGUUGCCCCAUUUGAUGUCUUUAACAAGCUCAGGAACACCAGAGAUGAGACACCCAGCAGGGCAUCCCAUAGCCUAAUUGAUGUCAAGUGGGUGAAGAAAUUCUUCCAGGCGGGCAGUAAAUCAUUUGAAGGACCUGUUUCAAUGCAUGUCAAUGUUUCAGGAACCAAACACGAUGUAUGUGAAGCAACCCAUGAAGGCGGAGUACAAACCGUACUGCGGCUCUAAGCCGGCUACCACUCCAUAGGCAAUCGCCUGGGGAAUAGUCGUUAAUCCCACCGUGAAUCCCGCAAUGAAGUCCUGCAUGAUGUACUCCAAUCGGUAGCGAGGUAGCCACUUUAGGAUCGGGAACUUGUUGGUCACGGUGGACGGACGACACAGCUUGCGACCGCCAUCCCUGAUUAGCGAGCCCACAUUGGGCAGUUGCUCCCGGUACAGAUUAUCUGUGAAUCCAAAACAUGCCUUGGAUGAGGAGUAUUUAUGUAUGCCAAGAUAACCCCUCCCCGUGCGGACUAAUCUUGCCUGACAGCAAGUUGUCGAUCAGACGUUUAUAUUGACUUUGGGCUGGUCAUCUUAUCGCCCGACAGCCUGGACUACCCCACGCAGAUAAGGUGCAUUCAGAUACUCUUUUAUGAAUUGGCACGAUUACAGCCCCCACUUUCUCACCGGAUCAAUCGCUGGAAGCGUAGCAAAUGAACUGACCCUGAUCAGCGCGAUCGCUGCUUCCGGAAAAACCCUGGAGCAGUUACUCACCCUCAUCGGCUCUCAUCGCGGGUGGCUCUCCAGCUUUAAACCGGGCUGUAGUUCCGAGAACGAUAGGGAAACCGGCUGCGAUGCAAAGGCAAUAUGUCUGUAAUCAAAACCGGUGAGCUAACGCGUCCGCUCAGCGUGCUGCUCCAAACGCGACUGCCGCUCCGAUCGCCGUCGUCCAACGUCUUUAGAGACCGAAAGCAAUCGCGUUUGCACAUUCUGGCCAUAUAAGAUUUACAAGCGCGGGUACCGGUACCGCCAUAUCAUGUUCGCUCUGUUAGUCCGUUAAUAAACAAUUACAAAGACAACCUUAA